rnacentral:lncRNA from 1 species
UGAGGUGAUAACCUUGGUCUCCUCUUCACACUCUACGUAUUGAUAUACAUGGUUUUUUAUUUUAGUCGACUUUUGAAGAUUUGGUGUUUUGGGGGUUCUCGAUCUCCGUAUGUGCCUCGGUCUGUUAUGCUGUUUUUGGAUUUCUUAGGUCGUUUCGGGCUCAACUAUAUGUGUCGGAGUGAUAUUUGAUGGUUGUUGUGCUUAAAAUGCAAAAUUGGUGAAUUCGUGGAGAGAGUGAGCGAAGGGAGAGGUCCCCAAAUUGCUGUGUUCCUUAUCGUGAAAGUGCAGCAGCAGGUCAGAGACCAUUCUUUGAUUUUGCAAGUAUAAGUGGAGCUGGAAAUUAUGUUGAAAUGGCUUUGGAGUUCUAAAGUGAAUCAUGGUUGUUGUUGUUGGGUUUGAAUCUCCCGGGUUGUAUGUUUAAAUUACAGAACUUUGGAGACCGGGUUGGAGACCAGAGAAUUUGACAGUCAUUGUUAUAGUUAUUAAGGAGUAGUCGCUGCUACUGCGGUGGAUACCAAGCCUAGCGGGAAUGCUUGAAUGUUCAAUUACUCAUGUUUUGAAGGUCUGAAAACUAAAGGUUGAUGCUUGUGACCGAGUUCCAAUUCGAUGGCAAAAUGAGAUGUAUAUGAGAAAGCUUAGUCUUCUACGAAGUUUUUCUGGACUUCAAGACAAAAAUAGUUUAUGAUUUCUUUCUUUUUGGGAUUAGCUUGUGAGUGUAGUAUGGUCAUGGAACCUUGACAUAUAAUUUAUAUGUAAUUGUGGAAUUAUUUAAAUAUUGGUAUGGAAGCAUCUAAUUGUG